CGGGUGAGUAAUGCUUGGGAAUCUGGCUUAUGGAGGGGGAUAACUACGGGAAACUGUAGCUAAUACCGCGUAGUGUCGAGAGACGAAAGUGCGGGACCGAAAGGCCGCAUGCCAUGAGAUGAGCCCAAGUGGGAUUAGGUAGUUGGUGGGGUAAAGGCCUACCAAGCCUGCGAUCUCUAGCUGGUCUGAGAGGAUGGCCAGCCACACUGGAACUGAGACACGGUCCAG
rnacentral:rRNA from 1 species